UGGCGGGCCCGGCGGUGGGGGAGGGAGAGGAGAACAGAGAGGAGGCGCUGGAGCUCGGAAGGCCAGGCGCUGGGUGCGAGUGGGUGACGCGAGGCGCCCCUCCCCGGGGUGCAGGGAGAGCGCUGGGCGCGUGGAGACGCCGCCGGGCUCGCGCCUUCUCCUUGCCGGGUAGAUCCAGAGGAAUGUGCGGAGCUCGGCUUGGAGCAACAGAAAGGGGCAAUCCGAACUUGGCCGCCGCACCCGCGCCGGGCUUCGCCUCGGUGCCCCGCUCUGGGAGGAAGGGCGCUCUGCCUGGUGGAGGCUACACUAGGCUUUCCUCGCGCCUGUCGAAGGCGUUCCUUCCUCCUUGGCUGUCUCGCCUUCUGUCUUUUCUGCAGGUAGAAGGCAGCGGCGAGACAAGGAGCUGUCUGCCGGAGUUCUCCUAGCACCAAGAAGGAGAGAUGUGGAGCGGCCCAGGGAGGGAAGCCGAGUGUUUGCCAGGGGACGCUGCGAGUGGGGAUGCAUUUAUAGGACUCGCACUUCGUGACGUGCCCUCCACUGGCUUUUCUGAUUCGCUUUCUGACCUAAACACACAUUAGUUUAGUCCCCAUGCUAGGGCCAACACGGUCUCCAAAUAUCUGCUGGCUGAAGUCAGAGGCUUUGCAUAUCAUGUAUUACAUGGCAGGCAAUGAAGAAGGCUUCUGAGGCUGGCCGGCUCCUCAGUCCUAGGUUCCAUUUUCAUGCUGUUGUAAUAUAAUACCAGACAUGGGGUAGGCACAUACAUUCAAAAUCCCAAUUCCAGAGGCAUAAGAUCAUUUUAUCAAGAAGAGGUCAGGGGAGGUUGGGCAAAACCUGCGUUUAUCCAGAUUUUCGAAAAUGAGAUGGAAAACCUAAGCCUGUAUCCCGUUGGGUGCUUAGUUUCCAGCGAGCAGAGACCCAGCCCCCAUUUCAGAGCUCUGAGUGGGAGAGGUGAGACCUUUUCGGCAUUCCUUUUGUUGGUUAGCUCACCACCAGAAGCAGCCAGGAGCCUUCCUUUGUAGAGGACAGGAGGAGGGCAAGUCCUUACACACCCUGUACAUGGCUAUAACCAUAAAUACGUUCCAUUCACAUGGAGCAUGAAAUUAGCUCCACCUUCAAAAUAAUGUACUAACUAAAGGAUGUCUUUGCUAAGCAGAAACCUGUUUUCCGGAAGUGACUGGACCUGAAUUCAGUUGGACUUCUUUUAUUUUAUUAGUUAGGAACCUGAAAAGUGUAAACAGGCUCAGUUUACAUCCAGGGGGUUGCAAGGAGAAGAUACACUGACUUAACCUUGAGUGAUGGGAGUUUACUGUGGAAGGAAGGCUGACCGGAAUCUCCACCACUCAGCCACGUGUCUCUGAAAAGCCUUCCGGAAAGGCCACUGGGCCAGGCCUCACGAAAACUGGAUUGAAGUUCAGGAACUGGAAGGUCAUUCAGGAUACGGCUCUGGGACUGGGUUAUCUCGCUGCCCCCUCAGUGGCAGGCAUCUGCUGGCCCUACUAACAGGCUUAACCACCAAGACAACAAUCACGAAAGCAUUGGGGAGAAGAAAGAGGAGGAGGAAUAAGAAGAGGAGAACACAAGAGGAGAAGGUGGAAGAGGAAAGAGAGAGGAUUUGCAUGGGGAAUCAAGAUGCCUAUGUCCUGAUUCUUUUGAAGAGCAUCUAGCACCUCACCUCACCCUAGUCCUGGCCCUUAUUGGCAGGAACAUCAACUUGAGAGCAACCCUGAAGCACUAAUUGGAAAGAAGUCAUGCUGGACGAUCAAGCAAUUUGAAUUGGAACCCUGACCUUGAACAAGCUGUGGAAGCUUGGGAAAUUUCUGGCAUCCCUAGCUCACCUAUUUUUCCACUCCCCCCCCCCCCCACUUCUUGCUCCUUUUGUCCUCCCUCAUUGGGAUACUAUGUGAAUAGAUGAGAUAAUAAACCAGAUUUUCUGAGUUUCAGAAUUACUCCCUGGGAAUAA